rnacentral:rRNA from 1 species
UGGGGAAUAUUGCACAAUGGGCGAAAGCCUGAUGCAGCAACGCCGCGUGAGUGAUGAAGGUCUUCGGAUUGUAAAGCUCUGUCUUUUGGGACGAUAAUGACGGUACCAAAGGAGGAAGCCACGGCUAACUACGUGCCAGCAGCCGCGGUAAUACGUAGGUGGCGAGCGUUGUCCGGAUUUACUGGGCGUAAAGGGUGCGUAGGCGGAUGUUUAAGUGAGAUGUGAAAUACCCGGGCUUAACUUGGGUGCUGCAUUUCAAACUGGAUAUCUAGAGUGCAGGAGAGGAGAAUGGAAUUCCUAGUGUAGCGGUGAAAUGCGUAGAGAUUAGGAAGAACACCAGUGGCGAAGGCGAUUCUCUGGACUGUAACUGACGCUGAGGCACGAAAAGCGUGGGUAGCAAACAGGAUUAGAUACCCUGGUAGUCCACGCCGUAAAACGAUGAGUACUAGGUGUAGGAGGUAUCGACCCCUUCUGUGCCGCAGUAAAACACAUUAAGUACUCCGCCU